rnacentral:rRNA from 1 species
AAAUGACUCUCGGCAACGGAUAUCUCGGCUCACGCAUCGAUGAAGAACGUAGCAAAAUGCGAUACUUGGUGUGAAUUGCAGAAUCCCGUGAACCAUCGAGUUUUUGAACGCAAGUUGCGCCCGAAGCCAUUCGGCCGAGGGCACGCCUGCCUGGGCGUCAC